AUUGAACGCUGGCGGCAUGCCUAACACAUGCAAGUCGAACGAGUGGCGGACGGGUGAGUAAUUUCUUGGAAACUGCCUGAUGGAGGGGUAUAACUACUGGAAACGGUAGCUAAUACCGCAUACCAUCGGAUGUGCCCAGAUGGGAUUAGCUAGUAGGUGUGGUAAAGGCUCACCUAGGCGACGAUCCCUAGCUGGUCUGAGAGGAUGACCAGCCACACUGGAACUGAGACACGGUCCAGACUCCUACGGGAGGCAGCAGUGGGGAAUAUUGCACAAUGGGCGCAAGCCUGAUGCAGCCAUGCCGCGUGUAUGAAGAAGGCCUUCGGGUUGUAAAGUACUGUCAGCGGGGAGGCGUUACCUGCAGAAGAAGCACCGGCUAACUCCGUGCCAGCAGCCGCGGUAAUUC
rnacentral:rRNA from 1 species